rnacentral:misc_RNA from 1 species
GAUGAAGAACGUAGCGAAAUGCGAUAAGUAAUGUGAAUUGCAGAAUUCAGUGAAUCAUCGAAUCUUUGAACGCACAUUGCGCCCCUUGGUAUUCCGAGGGGCAUGCCUGUUCGAGCGUCAUUAUAACCCUCAAGCUCAGCUUGGUGUUGGGGCCUGCUGCACUGGCAGCCCUUAAAAUCAGUGGCGGCGCCAUCUGGCUCUAAGCGUAGUAAUUCUUCUCGCUAUGGAGUCCUGGAUGCUUGCCAUCAACCCCCAAUUUUUCUAUGGUUGACCUCGGAUCAGGUAGGGAUACCCGCUGAACUUAAGCAUAUCAAUAAGCGGAGGA